GCAAAUUAGGUUUCCAAAUAGGACUGACUUGGUGGGGGUCACAGUAAGGAGGCCAGCUACAGGGUUGAGGGGACUUACCUGCCUAGCUCCCCUACUGGAGCAAGCAGAAAUAACUUUGAGGAGGCUGUAGUAGGAAAAGCCUGAAUCUGGGAAAGAAGCAGCAGAGAAAAGACUUUUUAAAGUGGCCGUUGUGAAGGAACGUGGAAGCUGAGGAAUAGCAAGAAUGAAGAGAGCUCCCCAUCCACCGGGAAACCCAGAGAAUUUCAGAGAUCUGAAACUGAGUAAUCUCUCACACAAGGGCAAUUGGGGCUGAGCCUGGGCCUGACCCUGAAUCCCAAGGGCAGGCUUUGGGAAUCUGAGGGGCAGCAGCUAACUGCCGGUGAGGAGGUGCUGUGUUCAUCCCUCAGUCAGGGGCAGAAGCUUUAUGUAACGAAGGGUUCUCUGAGCCAGCUCUGCAGCUGGUUAGGGCUCAGGCUUAAGGAUCUACAGGUAGAGGGUUGCCUUUUUUUCCUUCCAAAGGUAUGUGAUUGGGUAAAAGAGACAAUGCUACAUUUUCCUCAAAGAAAUAUCUGGCCUACAGAUCAAGAUGGACCUUCCAUCCUGGAAUGGAACUGCUACAGGGAACGACUGGGCAUGCCUCACCUCCUGGAGCCAUGCUGGUGGCCUGCAUGUAUCAUGGGAAUUUCUCAGAAUGGCCUAGCCUUGGCAACGGGUUGAGACAGGGGAGUUUGAAGCUUGUUUUAGGAUUCUCCCUUCACCAAAAACCUUUCUAGCCACCCACCCUGUGCUCCAUUCUUCUGGGACUUCUCUAUCAGUAUUUUGCCUUCCCAACUAAGGGGUGGUUGAGAGUCAAUGAAAAAAUAUUUAUUGAGCCUACUAUUUGUCCAGCAAGUAUAAAUAGUCCAUUCAUGUUACUCCUUAUGCCUCGGCUGCCAGAAAAACAAAGGUCAAAUUUAUUGCUAAAAUAGAAGCAGAACAUUCUCCAUGUCUGAAACCAUCAUUCCUUCUGGUUCUUUCAGAUGGAUUCCAUUUAAACUGAUCCCAGACUGUAUCCUUCUUUAGAGGCACCUUGAAUGAUAUCAAAAUGGCCCCGGCUCUGUCCAUUACCAGGAAGAGGACAUUGGCUACAGCUCAUCCCUUUACAGAAGGAGGCUGGAGGCAUAAAGAAGAUAAGCGUCUGUCCAAGGUCACCGAGCAAGUUAGGGGCACACGGGAAGAGGAUUAGACCCCCUGAUUUGUAAUCUUGUUCUCCUUCCACUGCACUUCACUUUUUGAAACCGAUUGUCAAUGCGCUAUAGCAGGCUUAAGUCCAAAUUAACGGAAUCUUCAAUGGAUAGAAUUCUUCAGCAGGCUGAGAUCAAAAGGAAAAAGAAGGAGCCUUUUUAGCCCCGCCUACCCAAGAUCAACAAAAGAUUCUGGCGCAAAAUG
rnacentral:lncRNA from 1 species